ACUCAAAUAAAUGGUAUAAUUAUAUAUAAUCAUUUAUCAUGUUCUUUGAUAGUUCUUAUGCUGUGAUUACAUGUGUUUGAGGCAUACAAACCAGACAAAAGAUACUACUUUCUUAUUUUUUUAAACAGAAAUCAGUUUCCCAAGUCUCUUUUAUGAGAAAUUAUAAAGAAGGGGAAGGAUGUUCUGUAUUUACAUGACUACAUAGAAUCUCCAAAAACAGAUGGAACUCUACAAAUCAAAUGACAUUACAGCUUGUGCACUGCAUUGGCCUGUGGACUUUGAAGUGUUUCAUUCCCAUUAAUGCACUGAAUUCUGUUAUCAAAUUAGAAAGACAGAGGAGUCUUUGAUGACCUGUAACAGGUUACAACAUGGAAACACGUGUGAGAGAAAGACAAAGAAGAAGCUUUUUAAAGAAAGUGUAUGCUUGGAGACACCUUCAUUUCAAAGUAUGUUCAGGAAUGCAGUCUUUCAGAACAACCCUACCUGGAGGCAAGGUGUAGGGAGACAUGAUACUGGUAUCCUGCCCACAGUCUGGAAACCUGACUUGCCCUCUGCUGACUUCUGUCUUGUGAAUUCCCAUAUUCAAAUUCCAAAUCUUCAUCAGCUCUGAAAUCAGAGACUCCGAGAGGCAUGCUGUUUUGCCAAAGAUGUGAAGCUUCAACGGUGGUGGUCAUGCAAAAUCUCCAUUUACAGUAAAAACAAGGGGAGGGGAACAACAACAACAACAAAAACACAUCAACAACAAAAAACUCUGAUUAAGGGUCAGAAGGUAAGAACUACUGGUAUCUUUGGAUAUAUGGAUAAACAAUUAGUAUACAGUUAGAAAAUACAUUGCCUUUGCAAAGUGGCUGUAGUAGGCUCUCCUCUAGUAUCUAUAACCUUUCCAGCCAUGGGUAUUUGGCCAGGUUUACAGCACCAGACAUGAAUUUACUCCUGUUGAGGAGGCUUUAAAGCUAUUAAGACAGCUUUUGUUUACAUCUAAGAUAAUAGCAUCACUUUUGCACCAUUGGGGAUAUGUUGCCAGGCAAGACAUGUUGUGAUAUAGGCUUUAUAGCUAGGUAAGACUAUUGAUUGCUUUUCUUCUUUGGCAGCUUAAAUAGCAUCCUCCAAUAUUAUGAGAGCUAAUCCUCACUGAUUCUUCUAGGUUAGUUCCAGCUUGAUUCUUGCAAGCCCUGUGUUUGAUAUGGUGUAGCCAGAUGGUUUUCUCCAGUCCUGCCUGGUCCCCCAGUCUACAGCAACUUAUAAAAUAAUCACUCAGAAGCUCAUACAAAUUAUAACUGCUCUGCCAUUUUCUCAGGCUAAUUAUUGGCUAGCUCUUACACUUAAAUUAACCCAUAAUUCUUAUCUAUGUUUAGCUACAUGGCAUGGUACUUUUUCUGUUUUGCCUUGUCAUCUUACUUCCUCUGUCUGUCUGGCAACUCCUGACUCUGCCCUUCCUC